rnacentral:lncRNA from 1 species
AUGACUUUUCAAUAAUAUAUUUUUGGCAUUUAAAAAAUUUCAAAAUUAACUAUUUUUAAUAAAUAUUAUCAAACAAAUAAUGUCAAAAUAUUAUAAAAUUUAGGGCAAACUUCAAAUACCACCCCUGUAGUUUCGCACUUUUUCACUUUAGUACCUUAUAGUUUAAAAUAUAUCAAUUUAGUACUUUGUGGUUUCAUUUCUCUUCCCAUGAGCCCCUCCGUUAAUAUUUCAUUAAAUUAUAUACAAAAAACUUCAGAUACCCUAAGUUUAUCGAAUAUUUAUUUUAAUACUUUUUACUUUUAACUUUGUCACUGAUUUAACGAAAAACAAAAUAGUGAAAGAGAUAAUAAAAAGAAAAAAAUAAAAUUUCGGGGUACUAAAUGGAUACACUUUAAACUAUAGGGUACCAAAGUAAGAAAGUGCGAAACUACGGGAUGGCGACUUAUUUGGAUAUACUAUAUACUACAUACCAUAUA